UACGUAGGGCGCAAGCGUUGUCCGGAUUUAUUGGGCGUAAAGAGCUCGUAGGCGGCUCAGUAAGUCAGGUGUGAAAACUCCAGGCUCAACCUGGAGACGCCACCUGAUACUGCUGUGGCUAGAGUCCGGUAGGGGAGCAUGGAAUUCCUGGUGUAGCGGUGAAAUGCGCAGAUAUCAGGAGGAACACCAGUGGCGAAGGCGGUGCUCUGGGCCGGAACUGACGCUGAGGAGCGAAAGCGUGGGGAGCAAACAGG
rnacentral:rRNA from 1 species